CCUACGGGAGGCAGCAGUGGGGAAUAUUGGGCAAUGGGCGCAAGCCUGACCCAGCAACGCCGCGUGCAGGAAGAAGGCUCUCGGGUUUUAAACUUCUUUUAUCAUGGACGAAGCAGGUGACGGUACCUGAUGAAUAAGCCACUGCUAACUGCGUGCAAGCAGCCGCGUUAAUUAGUAGGUGGCAAGCGUUAUCCGGAUUUACUGGGUGUAAAGGGCGUGUAGGCGGGAAAGCAAGUCAGAUGUGAAAACCAUGGGCUCAACCUGUGGCCUGCAUUUGAAACUGUUUUCCUUGAGUACUGGAGAGGCAGACGGAAUUCCUAGUGUAGCGGUGAAAUGCGUAGAUAUUAGGAGGAACACCAGUGGCGAAGGCGGUCUGCUGGACAGCAACUGACGCUGAGGCGCGAAAGCGUGGGGAGCAAACAGGAUUAGAUACCCGAGUAGUC
rnacentral:rRNA from 1 species